rnacentral:rRNA from 4 species
AGGUCAGGCGGGGCUACCCGCUGAGUUUAAGCAUAUCAAUAAGC